UGCGCAGAGAGGAAGAACCACCCUGGACCCUGCUGGAUGAGGGAGCAAUGUCCAGGUCUCAGGCUGGGUGGUGAUGGUGUCACCCUUGUGAUGGAGACUCUGGAGGAGGCCGACGGUGGAGGCCAGUGGUCUGCUCAGCAGAGGGUUUCUCCAGAGGGAAGGGUUCUCCCUGACAAUCCCAGCAAUUCCGGGAUUCGAGGCGCUCGCACAUGAGACACUGUUGUGCAAGAAGUUGGAAAGCACCUGGACGUCUCUCAAUGACGGCUGCCGCCAGCGCGCAACUGCAUGCCUGUUACAAGGAACGCUGUGACUGUCUUGGUGAAGACGUCAGUGACACAUAACAUGAAGAGGCAGCAUGCACUUUUAAAAGUCUGUUUGAACCCAGGAGGUGGCAGGGGGCGGGGGGGGUAAAAAUCGUGUUUUUUAUUACUUUUGUGUAAACAAAAAAAUAAGUAUGAUUUUACACCUAAUUGCUAAACAGAGUUUUUUUCUUCUUGGAAUGGGAUGGAGACCACUUAUUGUUCUGUUGUUUUACAAUGAAAUCAUAUUAUUUCAAAAGUCUUGAAAUGUAAUCUACCAACGCCUAUCUCUGGAGAUUAGCCUGUAAGCGGCAGGGAACCACCCCUCUGAGCACUGCCUGUCCCUCUGCCAGGAAUCCACUUGGCUUUGUCACCAAAUUCUAAUCUUUCUCAAACCUACCCUAUAUUCCUGGUCUCCGCUCCCUUUCUCUGCU
rnacentral:lncRNA from 1 species